rnacentral:tRNA from 1 species
CCCUGGGUGGUGCAAUGGUUAAUACACUUGGCUGCUAACCAAAAGGCUGGAGGUUCAAGUCCACCCAGAGGUG